UGGGGAAUCUUGGUCAAUGGGGGCAACCCUGAUCCAGCCAUGCCGCGUGAUCGAUGAAGGCCUUAGGGUUGUAAAGAUCUUUCAGCUGGGAAGAUAAUGACGGUACCAGCAGAAGAAGCCCCGGCUAACUCCGUGCCAGCAGCCGCGGUAAUACGGAGGGGGCUAGCGUUGUUCGGAAUUACUGGGCGUAAAGCGCACGUAGGCGGAUCAGUCAGUUAGAGGUGAAAGCCCAGGGCUCAACCCUGGAACUGCCUUUAAUACUGCUGGUCUGGAGGUCGAGAGAGGCGAGUGGAAUUCCGAGUGUAGAGGUGAAAUUCGUAGAUAUUCGGAGGAACACCAGUGGCGAAGGCGGCUCGCUGGCUCGAUACUGACGCUGAGGUGCGAAAGCGUGGGGAGCAAACAG
rnacentral:rRNA from 1 species